GCUGGGCGUGGUGGCUCACGCCUGUAAUCCCAGCACUUUGGGAGGCAGAGGUGGGCGGAUCACCUGAGGUCAGGAGUUCCAGACCAGCCUGGCCAACAUGGUGAAACCCCGUCUCUA
rnacentral:SRP_RNA from 1 species